rnacentral:rRNA from 1 species
AGUGAACGCUGGCGGUAGGCCUAACACAUGCAAGUCGAACGGCAGCACAGUAAGAGCUUGCUCUUACGGGUGGCGAGUGGCGGACGGGUGAGGAAUACAUCGGAAUCUACUUUUUCGUGGGGGAUAACGUAGGGAAACUUACGCUAAUACCGCAUACGACCUACGGGUGAAAGCAGGGGAUCUUCGGACCUUGCGCGAUUGAAUGAGCCGAUGUCGGAUUAGCUAGUUGGCGGGGUAAAGGCCCACCAAGGCGACGAUCCGUAGCUGGUCUGAGAGGAUGAUCAGCCACACUGGAACUGAGACACGGUCCAGACUCCGACGGGAGGCAGCAGUGGGGAAUAUUGGACAAUGGGCGCAAGCCUGAUCCAGCAAUACCGCGUGGGUGAAGAAGGCCUUCGGGUUGUAAGGCCCUUUUGUUGGGAAAGAAAAGCAGCAGGUUAAUACCCCGCUGUUCUGACGGUACCCAAAGAAUAAGCACCGGCUAACUUCGUG